UCCGUGCUCUGCUCAUGCGCAGGAGCGGCCGAGGCGUGCUGCUGUGCGGGCCGGGGGUUGAGCAGCUGCCGCCAUGGGGAAGCUGAACGUGGUCAUGCUGCGAUACCUGUCCAAGGAGCACUUCCGAGUCCUGAUAGCGGUGGAAAUGGGAAUGAAGAAUCAUGAAAUAGUUCCUGCCAGCUUAAUUGCUUCUAUCGCAAGCCUGAAGCAUGGUGGUUGUAACAAAAUUUUGAGAGAGCUGGGGAAACACAGGCUCCUGGCUUACGAACGAACUAGAAUGGUCCAGGGCUAUCGGUUAACAAAUGCAGGAUAUGAUUACCUUGCCUUGAAAACUCUGUCUUCCCGGCAAGUCAUCAGUUCUGUUGGAAAUCAGAUGGGUGUUGGCAAAGAAUCAGAUAUUUAUAUCGUUGCAAAUGAAGAUGAGCAACAGUUUGCAAUGAAAUUGCACAGGCUUGGAAGAACUUCUUUUCGCAGUCUGAAAAACAAGCGUGAUUACCAUAAGCACAGGCAUAAAAUGUCGUGGCUUUAUUUAUCCCGGUUAGCAGCAAUGAAGGAGUUUGCUUACAUGAAGGCUUUGUAUGACAGAAAAUUUCCUGUUCCAAAGCCUGUAGACUACAACAGACAUGCAGUUAUUAUGGAGCUCCUUGAUGGCUAUCCUUUGUGCCAGGUGCGCCAAAUGGAAGAUCCUGCUUCUGUCUACAGUGAAUUAAUGGAGUUAAUUGUAAAACUUGCCAAUCACGGUUUGAUUCAUGGGGAUUUCAAUGAAUUCAAUCUUAUACUGGAUAAUGAUGACCAUGUCACUAUGAUUGAUUUUCCACAAAUGAUAUCAACAUCACAUCCAAAUGCUGAAUGGUAUUUUGACAGAGAUGUUAACUGUAUUAAGGAGUUCUUUAAGAAACGCUUCAACUAUGAGAGUGAGCUCUUCCCAGAAUUCAAAGACAUCAGAAGAGAAAGUUCUCUUGACAUAGAGAUUGCUGCCAGUGGAUAUACGAAAGAAAUGCAGGAAGAUGAUGAACUGCUUCGCCCAUCGGGCUCUGACGAGGAUGAUCAUGCAGCAGAGGUAUCAGAAUUUGAAGAAUUUGAUGAGAGUAUCCUCAAAUUCUUCAGAAGUAAUCAGGAAGAUAAUGCAGAAUUAAUACAGGAAGAGGAUUCUGAAAGCAGCACCUCUGAAGAUGCAAUGUAUCACAAUGAAGAGGCUGAUACCACUGAAACUAGUGAAAAUCUACAAAAACUGAGUUUGUCAGAGUUGAGCUCUGCCAUAAAUAAGGUUGAAGGGCAACCUGUGCAUUGUAAAUCCAGUGAAGAUGCAGAGAGUUGUGUAACUGUGUUUUCUGAGCAUGAAAAGAUGCUCCAAGGUACCUCAGAAAAUCAGACAGCUCAAGGAGAGUGCUGCAUUGACAAGGAAAACGAAGAUGAUGAAUGUCCUGAUCUGGUUGACUUGUCAGCUUUGAACAAGAAGUUGAAGCCUUACAGAAAUGAAGAUAACAUACCUCAUAUUGCUGAGAACAAGGCAAGAACAAGGACCACAUCAGUCAGCAGUCUUGGGAGCUGUUCAACCAUUCCACCGGUAAUUAUUACUGUUGUUAUUGCAUUAUUAUCAUCUAGUUCACUCUGAGACCAUCUUAAAUUUCACAUAGAUGUUAGUAGGUAUUUGUAAAAUACCUUCUAGAAUUAUUUGGUUUUCAGUGAUUACUAACCAUGUACCUCUCUGGUUUGCAGUUACAUGGUCAUAGACAAAUGGUACUGAUAAUUUUCUAAUUGCUGACUUGUGAAUUAUAUCCAGCACUUUACUCUAUUGGUUGCUCUUUUUCCUGUUACUAUGCUUGAGUAAUUUUGUGUAAUUUGUAAUUUGUGGCAGGUAUACGUCAUACAAUCUGUUCUUUCAUUUCCCUUACUAGAAAUGAAUUCUGUUCCACAAUUAAUGUUUUUGUAUUUUAGAAGUGAAUAUUUAUGUGAAAAUUUAACCUGCUCUGUUUAAAGAUUUCUUCAUGCUUUGUUGAAACACUUAUAUCUGCUCAUUUUAGUAAUGGUUUCUCCAAUAAUUUGAAUUUAACUUUCAGCAUUAUACAAAUCAGGAGGUUUUGCAGCAGAAUUUAAUGUCUUUUUUUCAACCACAGUCUAUACAUUAGUCAGUACGACUUCUUCCAUUACGUUUUAAGAAGUACAUUCUAGCUUCAAAGGGAGAAAAGGACAGUUGUAUGUGUAAAUAAAUGUAUCAAGAAACGGCAUGUCUGGAAGUCGUCUCAAGACAUUUGUACAGGGCUUCAUGUUUGUAAGUCAUUCGAGUUCUUACUGUGUAGAGUGGCUUUGUAUCUUCUUAAGGAGACAAAGAAUUAGAUUUGAUUUGUGGAAUGGGGUAAAGAAGAGCCAGAAUGACCUGCCAGGAAUUCUUUAAUCUCUGGUGCAUGAAGUCUGAUGUGGUUUUUUUUUCAGCUGUUGGAUUUUUGUGUAUGGUUUUUGUUUGUUUUCCUCAGUUUGCUAACUAAAGUUCGCAAGAUUGCUUUAAAUUUCAAUUGUUAUAUUUCUAUUCACCAUUAGGUGGAAGCAGUGGUCAUGCUGUAAUUCUAGAAACCUUUCUGAGUGUUUAGAGGGUGUGUGUUUAUUCUGUAAGCAGACACCUAGAACUUUGUUAGAAAAUAUUCAAAUGGCAUGUAAGUACCUAAUAUUCUCUUCUAAAAGAAACAUAAGAGCACUUUGGCAGAAGAGGCUUCCUAGAGAUGCAGCUACAUAAAAAUCCUGUUUAUCCAGUUUACCUUACGUAAUAAUUCCAUUUGCAUGCUCAUGCACUGAGUAAAAUGAUGUUUCUGUCCGUUGGUAAAUCUUAUUUGAAAGUUUGAAUGCUAGAAGUAAACGGCAGAACUAAGAGGAGGAUAUGUAGAUGAGUGAGCUAUUUCUAACAUGAGGACAUGAUUACAAAACUAAAACAAACGAAGGUACUGCAGUAGGAUCCACUGUGACUGAUGCUAGUACUUUUCUGUUGUUUGUAUAGCUUUCUCCAUGGAGAAACAUAUUAAACCAGAUUUUCAGAUUGAACACAGAGAAGGAAUUCUUACGGACAUAAAUAAGCAAUAUGGUAAUAGCAGUAGGUACAGUCAUAACUGGGAGAAUGCCAAAGCAAAAGCAGCAAAACAGCAAAAUGUAAAUUUGUUUGCUCUGAAAUUUUUCUGUUUUUGCUUAUAGUGAAGUUUAAGAUGGUGGUUACACAAAUGAGAUUUGCACGCUGUGGUUGAGCAGUAGAAUUUUGCAAAUUUACACUAUGAUUACAGAUCAUAGUGUAAUAUACCUGGUAUACCUUGUGUUUUAAGAUUUCUUGCUUGAACUGUGAAUAAAAUCAUCUGCUCACUACAGCAGGAGAAGUAGAGAAGCCACCUUUAAGGGCUUUACCCAUACAAAGCAGAGAAUGACAUCUUUUUUGCUGACAGAAUGAGAACAUUAGUGGACCAGUUUUAACUAAUUCUGUUAACUUUUCCUCAGGAAUUUUUGAGGAAUAUUUUCCAAAGUCCUUGUUGGUAAAUUGUGAGGUGAAACAGAUACAUCAUAAACAAGAUUAAUGCAACAUAUUGCCUGUUGACUGAGAGAGGAAAUGGUGAAAAAGAAGAUAAAGCGUCAGCUGACAAAACAACAAAAGUCUGCUCUUAGACAACGACUGCAGAAAGGAGAGGCAAA